CCUACGGGAGGCAGCAGUAGGGAAUUUUGCGCAAUGGGCGAAAGCCUGACGCAGCAACGCCGCGUGACCGAUGAAGCCCUUCGGGGUGUAAAGGUCUGUCAGUGGGGACGAACGAUGACGGUACCCACAGAGGAAGCACCGGCUAACUCCGUGCCAGCAGCCGCGGUAAU
rnacentral:rRNA from 1 species